rnacentral:rRNA from 1 species
ACACCUGCCCCAUGCUCCAGAAUAGCUCUUGGAAACGGGUGGUAAUGCUGGAUGCUCCAACUUGACGCAUGUCUUGUUGGGAAAGUGUUUAGUGGCAUGGGAUGGGGUCGCGUCCUAUCAGCUUGUAGGCGGGGUAAUGGCCCACCUAGGCUUCGACGGGUAGCCGGCCUGAGAGGACGGACGGCCACAUUGGGACUGAGAUACGGCCCAGACUCCUACGGGAGGCAGCAGCA